rnacentral:rRNA from 1 species
GGGAGUGAAAUAGAACCUGAAACCCUGCACUUACAAGCUGUGGAAGCACAUUUCUUGUGUGACCGCGUACUUUUUGUAGAACGGGCCAACGAGUUACGUUAAGUAGCAAGGUGAAGCACUUAAGGUGUGGCGCGGAAGGGAAAGCGAGUGUUAACUGAGCGUUCAGUUACUUGGCGUAGACCCGAAACCGGGCGACUUACCCGUGGGCAGGAUAAAGCGAAAGGAAAAUUUCGGGGAGGUCCGAUCCCACGAGCGUUGAAAAGGUCGGGGAUGACUUAUGGGUAGCGGUGAAAUACCAAUCGGGCCCGGAGAUAGCUAGUUCUCCCCGAAAGAGCUUUAGGGCUAGCCUCAAGGUGAGGGAUACGGAGGUAGAGCACUGAAUGUCCUAGGGG